AAGUUAUUUCCUUUCAAGAAAAAGGACUUACAGUCAACAAAAUUCCUUGUUUGCUAACCCGUUAUUGGCUGCUACCCUUGAAUCUCCCUAUUUGUCAACAACAAAAAAAGAGGUUAAAUAUUGUGAUCAUGCUUUCAUCAUUAUAUGGGGCAUCUGGUUAUCCCUCCAAAAUAUGGCAAUGGCCACACGUUGAACGCGGAUCAUUCGUUCUGUCAUCGAACUUGACUCAUUCCAUCUUCUGGAUUGCUUAGGAAAGCUGAUUGGUGUUACCUGUCAUUUAGGUAAUGACCGAGAAGAUGCGGCCUACAUGAACAUCAUUUAGGCGGCCAACAUCAUUUGACUACCCAACCGGCUUCUACUACCCUGCUCUCAACAUAUCACGGAGUUUUACCCUUUAGAUUUUUGGCUGUUCGCGAUGUGUGAUGGCGUUUCCUUGGACGAUAUGAUGAUUUUGGCGAGAAAAAUAUUGCGUUCUAACCUUCAGGUUCCUAAAUUUGCAUGACAGACUUUAUGAAAAGUAAUGUUCUUUCAAGAAAGUGAACAAGGUCCCUAGUUUGCUAACCCAAUGGCUGCUAUUCUUGAAUCUCCCUAUUAAGCUCCUUACACAGUCCCUCUUGAUUUGAGGGUAAUCCUUCGCUACUGAUCAUGGACUCCAUUGGUGAAACUGAAAACUGACGAG
rnacentral:lncRNA from 1 species